GCCCGGUCGAGGACCGGACGGGUCUCGUCGGUCUCGUAGAGGUUGUCGACGCCUUGCAGCAGGGUGGCCAUGCGUUCCACGCCCAUGCCGGUGUC
rnacentral:tRNA from 1 species